GGGUGACGAGCGGCGGACGGGUGAGUAAUGUCUGGGAAACUGCCUGAUGGAGGGGGAUAACUACUGGAAACGGUAGCUAAUACCGCAUAACGUCGCAAGACCAAAGAGGGGGACCUUCGGGCCUCUUGCCAUCAGAUGUGCCCAGAUGGGAUUAGCUAGUAGGUGGGGUAACGGCUCACCUAGGCGACGAUCCCUAGCUGGUCUGAGAGGAUGACCAGCCACACUGGAACUGAGACACGGUCCAGACUCCUACGGGAGGCAGCAGUGGGGAAUAUUGCACAAUGGGCGCAAGCCUGAUGCAGCCAUGCCGCGUGUAUGAAGAAGGCCUUCGGGUUGUAAAGUACUUUCAGCGGGGAGGAAGGUGUUGAGGUUAAUAACCUCAGCAAUUGACGUUACCCGCAGAAGAAGCACCGGCUAACUCCGUGCCAGCAGCCGCGGUAAUACGGAGGGUGCAAGCGUUAAUCGGAAUUACUGGGCGUAAAGCGCACGCAGGCGGUCUGUCAAGUCGGAUGUGAAAUCCCCGGGCUCAACCUGGGAACUGCAUUCGAAACUGGCAGGCUAGAGUCUUGUAGAGGGGGGUAGAAUUCCAGGUGUAGCGGUGAAAUGCGUAGAGAUCUGGAGGAAUACCGGUGGCGAAGGCGGCCCCCUGGACAAAGACUGACGCUCAGGUGCGAAAGCGUGGGGAGCAAACAGGAUUAGAUACCCUGGUAGUCCACGCCGUAAACGAUGUCGACUUGGAGGUUGUGCCCUUGAGGCGUGGCUUCCGGAGCUAACGCGUUAAGUCGACCGCCUGGGGAGUACGGCCGCAAGGUUAAAACUCAAAUGAAUUGACGGGGGCCCGCACAAGCGGUGGAGCAUGUGGUUUAAUUCGAUGCAACGCGAAGAACCUUACCUACUCUUGACAUCCAGAGAACUUUCCAGAGAUGGAUUGGUGCCUUCGGGAACUCUGAGACAGGUGCUGCAUGGCUGUCGUCAGCUCGUGUUGUGAAAUGUUGGGUUAAGUCCCGCAACGAGCGCAACCCUUAUCCUUUGUUGCCAGCGGUUAGGCCGGGAACUCAAAGGAGACUGCCAGUGAUAAACUGGAGGAAGGUGGGGAUGACGUCAAGUCAUCAUGGCCCUUACGAGUAGGGCUACACACGUGCUACAAUGGCGCAUACAAAGAGAAGCGACCUCGCGAGAGCAAGCGGACCUCAUAAAGUGCGUCGUAGUCCGGAUUGGAGUCUGCAACUCGACUCCAUGAAGUCGGAAUCGCUAGUAAUCGUAGAUCAGAAUGCUACGGUGAAUACGUUCCCGGGCCUUGUACACACCGCCCGUCACACCAUGGGAGUGGGUUGCAAAAGAAGUAGGUAGCUUAACCUUCGGGAGGGCGCUUACCACUUUGUGAUUCAUGACUGGGGUGAAGUCGUAACAAGGUAACCGUAGGGGAACCUGCGGUUGGAUCACCUCCUUA
rnacentral:rRNA from 1 species